ACUGUUGAGUGAUGAGGCCCUGGAAUGAGUGCUGGGCACAGCGCCCAAAUCAGACUGCGGAAAUGUUCCUUGCUGCCUGCCUUCUGAGAAUAGC